rnacentral:rRNA from 1 species
AUUGAACGCUGGCGGCAGGCCUAACACAUGCAAGUCGAACGAGUGGCGGACGGGUGAGUAAUGUCUGGGAAACUGCCUGAUGGAGGGGGAUAACUACUGGAAACGGUAGCUAAUACCGCAUACCAUCAGAUGUGCCCAGAUGGGAUUAGCUUGUUGGGGGGGAAACGGCUCACAAAGGCGACGAUCCCUAGCUGGGCUGAGAGGCUGACCGCCACAACUGGAACUGAGACACGGUCCAGACUCCUACGGGAGGCAGAAGUGGGGAAUAUUGCAAAAUGGGGGAAAGCCGGAUGCAGCCAUGCCGCGGGUAUGAAGAAGGCCUUCGGGUUGUAAAGUACUUUCAGCGGGGAGGCGUUACCCGAAGAAGAAGCACCGGCUAACUCCGUGCCAGCAGCCGCGGUAAUUC